AACGAACGCUGGCGGCAGGCCUAAAACAUGCAAGUCGAACGGGUGUAGUAAUACAUCAGUGGCGCACGGGUGAGUAACGCGUGGGAACAUGCCCCUUAGUACGGGACAACGUCGGGAAACUGACGCUAAUACCGUAUAAUAUCUCCGGAUCAAAGAUUUAUCGCUGAGGGAGUGGCCCGCGUCUGAUUAGCUAGUUGGUGAGGUAAUGGCUCACCAAGGCUACGAUCAGUAGCAGGUCUGAGAGGAUGAUCUGCCACACUGGGACUGAGACACGGCCCAGACUCCUACGGGAGGCAGCAGUUAGGAAUAUUGGACAAUGGGCGAAAGCCUGAUCCAGCCAUGCCGCGUGUGUGAUGAAGGCCUUAGGGUUGUAAAGCACUUUCGUUGGGGAUGAUAAUGACCGUACCCAAAGAAGAAGCACCGGCUAACUUCGUG
rnacentral:rRNA from 1 species